rnacentral:tRNA from 1 species
GGGCCCAUAGCUCAGUUGGUCAGAGCAGCUGACUCAUAAUCAGCGGGUCGCAGGUUCGAGUCCUGCUGGGCCCACCA